UUUAUCUCUGUUGUUCAAUGGCUUCCUCUCUCUUGAAACAUCUUUUUUCCCCUUUACUUUAGAAGUGGGCGUACCCUUCUCCCUAACAGGCCAGGGUUUGUUUACAAAUAACGGCUUUUACAUUUUUGGCUAUAUCUGAUGCUGAUCAGUAGAUCUAUAUUUAUUGGUAUGUAUUCUUUUUUUAAUAUAUAUUUCUGGCAGAUGCGGAGAGAGGAUGUC
rnacentral:lncRNA from 1 species